rnacentral:lncRNA from 1 species
CUUCUCUGCCCACUUGAAGUCAAAGUUUCCCCUCCAAAGUUGCAAUAUGAUCUAUGCUGUCGGUCCCUCUGUCUGAUUGUCUCAUCGGUUGUUCUUUCCAGCUGAUUCAGAAGGAAGAGCCACAUCUCUGCUCUGCCUUAGCAUAUCUACAGGAUCUGUCUGCAGGAUGUACAGCUGGAAAAUCCAACAAUCACAGAAGAGUGGCCUGAAAGAAGCCAUCAUUGGAAUGUUCUAAGUGAGAAAUGAGUAGAAGAUGGCAGAAAUCAGUAGAAGAUUAAGGUUCAAGCCUUUUCUAUGUUUAGUUUCAAGGUAAACAUGUGGGCUUUAAAACACAUUACUCACUGUAAAUAAUGAUUUAUGGCUGUGUA